GUGCCAGCCGCCGCGGUAAUACGGAGGGUGCAAGCGUUAUCCGGAAUCACUGGGUUUAAAGGGUGCGUAGGCGGUCAGAUAAGUCAGUCGUGAAAUUCCUCGGCUUAACCGGGUGGACUGCGAUUGAUACUGUUUGACUUGAAUGAGGUUGAGGUAGGCGGAAUGUGGCAUGUAGCGGUGAAAUGCUUAGAUAUGCCAUAGAACACCGAUUGCGAAGGCAGCUUGCUGGGCCUUCAUUGACGCUGAGGCACGAAAGCGUGGGGAGCAAACAGGAUUAGAAACCCCUGUAGUCC
rnacentral:rRNA from 1 species